UGUUGGUUGCUUGAGAAAUAGAUCUUCUAAAGUAAUAAUAGCCUUUAGCUCUUCAUAGAAUUAGCUGCCUAUAGUUUCCAAAGAACGAUAUCAAAAAAAUGAGAUUGUAUGAUUCUUCUCAUUAUGUGCCAAAGUAUAAAGAAAUUUGGCCAAUUUUUUUUCAACACUGCUAUUUUUAUUAUUCUUGAGUCUACCGGUGCCUCUAGGUAUUUCACACAACUUGGCAAAUAAAUAAGGCCCCAGACGAAGUAAGUCACGACAAUGCUCACUAUUAGAAAUCUGUUCCAUUAAUUUUUGGCGUUCACUUUCUCUUUCUCCAUUAUUGUUGUUGAUUGCUUUAUCUACAUAGUUUGAAUUAAUAAAUCCUUCCAUCAAAUGCGUGGAAUAGAC
rnacentral:lncRNA from 1 species